rnacentral:rRNA from 1 species
UACAGAGGUGCAAACGUUGUUCGGAUUUACUGGGCGUAAAGCGCGUGUAGGCUGCUUCGCAAGUCGGAUGUGAAAGGCCCUGGGACUCAACCCAGGAAGUGCAUUCGAAACUGCAGAGCUGGAGUCCUGGAGAGGAAGGCGGAAUUCUCGGUGUAGAGGUGAAAUUCGUAGAUAUCGAGAGGAACACCGGUGGCGAAGGCGGGUCUCUGGGCCGGAUACUGACGCUGGAGGAGCGAAAAGCGUGGGGAGCGAACAGG